AAGAAUCACCUUAAGCUGUGGUCGUAUUUCCACGAGUGCUCGAUCGGCUCAAGGCAGUUCUUCG
rnacentral:pre_miRNA from 2 species